CAAUAGUGUAUAUUAACGUUGUUGCAGUUAAAAAGCUCGUAGUUGGAUUUCUGGAGGGAGCGUCGGCCCGUAUUUACGAGUGCGUGACGUCUCUGUCCAUCCUUGCGGGAAGGCACGGCAUUGAUUUGUUGUGUCGGAUCGCAUCAUUUACUGUGAAAAAAUUAGAGUGUUCAAAGCAGGCUUUCGCUUGAAUACAUUAGCAUGGAAUAAUAAGAUAGGACUUUGGUGCUAUUUUGUUGGUUGAGCCUAAAGUAAUGAUUAAUAGGGAUAGUUGGGGGCACCUGUAUUGCGUUGUCAGAGGUGAAAUUCUUGGAUUUACGCAAGACAAACAGCUGCGAAANCGNNNGCCAAGGAUGUUUUCAUNAA
rnacentral:rRNA from 1 species